AGCGAACGCUGGCGGCAGGCCUAACACAUGCAAGUCGAACGGAUCCUUCGGGAUUAGUGUCGGACGGGUGAGUAACACGUGGGAACGUUCCCUUUUGUUCGGAACAACUCAGGGAAACUUGUGCUAAUACCGGAUGUGCCCUUCGGGGGAAAGAUUUAUGGCCAUUGGUGCGGCCCGCGUCUGAUUAGCUUGUUGGUGAGGUAACGGCCCACCAACGCGACGAUCAGUAGCUGGUCUGAGAGGAUGAUCAUCCACACUGGGACUGAGACACGGCACAGACUACUACGGGAGGAAACAGAGGGGAAUCUAGCGAAAUGGGCGAAAGGAUGAAGCAGCCAGGGCGCGAGAAUGAUGAGGGUAUUAGGAUAGAAAAAUUCUUUCAGCGGGGACGGUAAUGACGGUACCAGCAGAAGAAGCUCCGGCUAACUACGUG
rnacentral:rRNA from 1 species